rnacentral:tRNA from 1 species
UCCCUGGUAGCUCAGCUGGUAAAGCAUCUGGCUGCAACGAGAAGACCCCAGUUCGAUUUCUGGGUCAGGAAG